AUACAACAAUUCCCAGAGAAGCAAAAACCAGAAGGGAAAAAUCCGUUUCCAGCAAAGGUCCGCGGCUGCCAGCGCCACCCCAUUCCCCUCGUCUGCCCGGCUGUGGGGUCUCCACUGCGGACAGCACCGGCUGCAUCAUCUCCUGCAGCCUAUCCUGCACGGGAGUCACGGCAGGCCAAGGAGAAGCUGGCAGUUUCCAGGAGAAGGAUCGGGAGGCCUCGCUCCUCUCCACCAGCUCCACUCACAGACACGGCGCAUGAGGGACGCAGAGGUCACGACGCCGACCCAGAGUCAUACCGGCUCCCACGCCCGACUGCAUCAACAGAGGGACCCAGGCCCGAGGGACCUCAGCGAUGUCGUCGUCCUCCCUAUCGUCUGGGACCCAAUCAUUGACUCCUCAGCAUCAGCCAGAGAGCAGGGCGAUAGUCUCUUCUGGCAGAGUUAAGACAAGAAAAGAACCAAAC